rnacentral:lncRNA from 1 species
GUCUCUUCAACAAUCAGCGUCGCAAGGCCAAAGCAUUUGUCUUGCGCACAAUGAGGGGUGAAGCUGACAAUGAUUUCCAAGGUGAUUGGAGUGACACUGAUGCUGAAUUCUCGCCUUUUGCUCGGCAGCUCACUAUCACAAAAGCAAAAAGGCUUAUUAGGCGGCAUACUAAAAAGUUUCGUGCUAGACAGAAAGGUAUCUCGAUUUCUGAAUUAUUUCUCUCUGUCAAGUGUCAAUAAGAAUAUAGCCUUCUACUCAAGGAAUUAAUAACAAAUCAUUUCACAUGGUAUUUACUUUGACACCAAACAUAUUAAUGUAACAGGUUCAUCUUCUCAACAGAGGGAGUCCCUUCCCUCGUCCCCAAGAGAAACCACCCCAUAUGAAAGUGACAGCUCUAGUGGAUCGUCACCAUUUGAAGACUUCAACGAGCAGGAAC